GUGCUUGCUUUGGCAGCACAUAUACUAAAAUUGGAAUGAUACAGAGAAGAUUAGCAUGGCCCCUGCGUAAGGAUGACAUGCAAAUUCGUGAAGUUUUUCAAAUUUUU